GAAGAAAAAAAAAUCUCUUGGUCACAUGAACAAAGCCAGCAUGGGAACCUCUUCCUUGCUCCACAUAUUCCUCAUCCUGGCCCUUCUAUUGGGCCUAGCCAAACCGGACCCAGACUCACUUCAAGAUUACUGCAUUGCAGAUACAAAAUCUUCUUUUUACUUGAAUGGUGUACCAUGUAUCAACCCAAACCUGGCAACUACUGCUCAUUUCACCACUUCAGCUCUUGCCAAGCCUGGGAACACUCGAGCCAACACUUUUGGUUUCAAUGUCACACUCACCACUGUCGCAAAUUUACCAGGGAUAAACACCUUGGGCCUGUCCCUGGCCCGGGUUGAUAUAGCGGGGAAUGGAAUCGUGCCACCUCACUCGCACCCGCGGGCCUCCGAAGUAACCAUUUGCCUUAAGGGUUCAAUCCUUGUGGGCUUUGUUGAUACUUCAAAUCGUUUGUAUACUCAACAGUUGCGGCCCGGGGAAUCAUUUGUGUUUCCAAAAGGGUUAAUCCACUUUCUGUUCAACGUCGACUCUUUAAACCCAGCACUAGCUAUUUCUGGAUUUAGCAGCCAAAAUCCUGGAGCCCAAGUAGCUUCUCUUGCAACUUUCAGGUCAAAUCCCUACAUCCCAGAUGACGUUGUGAAGAAAGCAUUUCAAAUCACCACCCAAGAUGUUAUGAAGAUCCGCAAAAACCUUGGAGGAUAAUUAAAUUGUGAGCAAGAGUCUGAGACCAUUGAAUUGGAUCACUCAGCUUUGUGUACAAUGCAAGCGAGCACAUUUAUUAUAAAUUGGUCAGUUCUUA
rnacentral:misc_RNA from 1 species